rnacentral:rRNA from 1 species
CCUACGGGAGGCAGCAGUGAGGAAUAUUGGUCAAUGGACGAGAGUCUGAACCAGCCAAGUAGCGUGAAGGAUGACUGCCCUAUGGGUUGUAAACUUCUUUUAUAUGGGAAUAAAAUGUUCCACGUGUGGGAUUUUGUAUGUACCAUAUGAAUAAGGAUCGGCUAACUCCGUGCCAGCAGCCGCGGUAAUACGGAGGAUCCGAGCGUUAUCCGGAUUUAUUGGGUUUAAAGGGAGCGUAGGUGGAUUGUUAAGUCAGUUGUGAAAGUUUGCGGCGCAACCGUAAAAUUGCAGUUGAAACUGGCAGUCUGGAGUACAGUAGAGGUGGGCGGAAUUCGUGGUGUAGCGGUGAAAUGCUUAGAUAUCACGAAGAACUCCGAUUGCGAAGGCAGCUCACUGGACUGCAACUGACACUGAGGCUCGAAAGUGUGGGUAUCAAACAGGAUUAGAUACCCGAGUAGUC